ensembl:lncRNA
GAUUUUCUCGGGUUGCUGUUUAACUUGCUUAACCGCUCAAAGCAAAUGGUCAGCAAAAAGUUGCAUUUUAGCAUCGUCAUCAUCACAUUGACCACGACCUUUUAAAGAGAUUUGCAUAGAAACAGAAGGUCCAUGAUGACAAAAGAUGCAUGCUGAUGGUUGUCUUUGAGGUUGCAGAUUUAAUAACAGGUCUAGGCCCAUGCGUUCCCAGGAUCCAUUUCAACAUUAGGCUGUAUCACUGAAAGUAUAGCCUGUGUUCUGACCGUCAGGCAGGUGUCAUUACUGCACUUCAUUUGCAAGUGCAGUUCUUUUGCGCUUCCUUGAAUUCUCUUGGAUCUACUUUGCUGCGGUCGUUCUGGGAUACGGCUCAGUCUUUAGGUUUAAUGCCGUCUGGAGAUUUUGUUUCAGCACAUCUUAAAGAUAACACUUCCAUGGAGCUUCUUCAGUCCCUACACUACCACAUAUUCCCAUCACGCCAUGUCACCCAGACAGCUGUGCUUAACCUCCCUCUGGCCUUUUUGCACAGCUGCAAGUGGGCUCUUUUACCCCUGUCUCACCCAUGAGUGGGCCUGCGAAUGCGAGUACAUGUGACAGAGGAGUGGACAGCUCCCAUUCUGCUUCCUAACAGCCCUUGUUGUUUCUUCGCCACUCAG